rnacentral:rRNA from 3 species
UUGGUCAAGCUACAAAGGGCUCAUGGUGGAUACCUUGGCACACAGAGGCGAUGAAGGACGUAGUUACCUGCGAUAAGUCUCGGGGAGCUGGACACACGCUUUGAUCCGGGAAUUUCCGAAUGGGGCAACCCCUAGUACGGCCAGCUGAAUCCAUAGGCUGGUGCGAGCCAACCCAGCGAACUGAAACAUCUUAGUAGCUGGAGGAAAGGAAAGUAAAAACGACUCCCUAAGUAGCGGCGAGCGAACGGGGAAGAGCCUAAACCGAUGGUUUCGACCAUCGGGGUUGUGGGACAGUAAUGUGUAUCAGGGAUGUUAGGAGAAGUGUUUGAAUGGCACACCACAGAGGGUGAAAGUCCCGUAACCGAAAACUGAACUGAACUAGCUGUAUCCCGAGUAGCACGGAGCACGUGAAAUUCCGUGUGAAUCCGCGAGGACCACCUCGUAAGGCUAAGUACUACUGUGUGACCGAUAGCGCAACAGUACCGCGAGGGAAAGGUGAAAAGAACCCCGGGAGGGGAGUGAAAUAGAACAUGAAACCAUGAGCCUACAAGCAAUGGGAGCCCGACUAAAUCGGGUGACCGUGUGCCUGUUGAAGAAUGAGCCGGCGACUUAUAGGCACUGGCAGGUUAAACCGGAAAUGGUGGAGCCAUAGCGAAAGCGAGUCUGAAUAGGGCGAUCGUCAGUGUUUAUAGACCCGAACCCGGGUGAUCUAACCAUGGCCAGGAUGAAGCUUGGGUGAUACCAAGUGGAGGUCCGAACCGACUGAUGUUGAAAAAUCAGCGGAUGAGCUGUGGUUAGGGGUGAAAUGCCAAUCGAACCCGGAGCUAGCUGGUUCUCCCCGAAAUACGUUGAGGCGUAGCGUCUAGUGCUCCAGCAGGGGGGUAAAGCCACCAUUUCGGUGCGGGCUGCGAGAGCGGUACCUAAUCGAGAUGAACUCUGAAUACCCUGUGUGUAACUAGGCAGUCAGACUGUGGGGGAUAAGCUCCAUGGUCGAAAGGGAAACAGCCCAGACCGCCAGCUAAGGUCCCCAAAUCAACACUAAGUGAUAAAGGAGGUGGGAUUGCCCAGACAACCAGGAGGUUUGCCUAGAAGCAGCCAUCCUCAAAGGAGUGCGUAAUAGCUCACUGGUCGAGCGAUCCUGCGCCGAAAAUGAACGGGGCUAAGUGUUGUACCGAAGCUGCGGAUUUAACUUGUUAAAUGGUAGGGGAGCGUUCUAUGUGGGGCGAAGCGUUAGCGUAAGCGGGCGUGGACUGCAUAGAAGUGAGAAUGUCGGCUUGAGUAGCGAAAACAUGGGUGAGAAUCCCAUGCCCCGAAACCCUAAGGGUUCCUCCGGCAGGCUCGUCCGCGGAGGGUUAGUCUGGACCUAAGGCGAGGCCGAAAGGCGUAGUCGAUGGAUAACAGGUCAACAUUCCUGUACCGGUUAUGUUUUGGGAAGGGGGACGGAGAAGGCUAGCCAAGCCAGAUGUUGGUUACUGGUUUAAGCGUUCGAGGCGUUGAGGAGCGGCGAAAACGUUCUGAGCUAAGGCGUGAAUACGAGCUGCUACGGCAGCGAAGUUGGUGAUGUCAUGCUUCCAAGAAAAGCCCUAUACCCGUUAAGGCAUAACUGCCAGUACCCGAAACCGACACAGGUAGGGUGGUAGAGAAUACCGAGGGGCGCGAGAUAACUCUCUCUAAGGAACUCGGCAAAAUGGCCCCGUAACUUCGGGAGAAGGGGUGCCAGCGAGAGCUGGUCGCAGUGAAGAGGCCCAGGCGACUGUUUACCAAAAACACAGGUCUCCGCUAAGUCGCAAGACGAUGUAUGGGGGCUGACGCCUGCCCAGUGCCGGAAGGUUAAGGAAGCCGGUCAGCGUAAGCGAAGCUGGCGACUGAAGCCCCGGUGAACGGCGGCCGUAACUAUAACGGUCCUAAGGUAGCGAAAUUCCUUGUCGGGUAAGUUCCGACCCGCACGAAAGGCGUAACGAUCUGGGCGCUGUCUCGGAGAGAGGCUCGGCGAAAUAGAAUUGUCUGUGAAGAUGCGGACUACGUACACCCGGACAGAAAGACCCUAUGAAGCUUUACUGUAGCUUGGUAUUGUGCCCGGGCUCUGAAUGCGCAGGAUAGGUGGGAGACGUUGAAGUAGUGCUCGUGGGUGCUACUGAGUCAAUGGUGAGAUACCACUCUUUCAGAGCUAGGGUUCUAACGUUCACCCGUUAUCCGGGGAGCGGACAGUAUCAGGUGGGCAGUUUGACUGGGGCGGUCGCCUCCUAAAAGGUAACGGAGGCGCGCAAAGGUUCCCUCAGGCUGGUUGGAAAUCAGUCGACGAGUGCAAAGGCAGAAGGGAGCUUGACUGUGAGACCUACAAGUCGAACAGGGACGAAAGUCGGCCUUAGUGAUCCGACGGUUCUGAGUGGAAGGGCCGUCGCUCAACGGAUAAAAGUUACUCUAGGGAUAACAGGCUGAUCUCCCCCAAGAGUUCACAUCGACGGGGAGGUUUGGCACCUCGAUGUCGGCUCAUCGCAACCUGGGGCUGAAGUCGGUCCCAAGGGUUGGGCUGUUCGCCCAUUAAAGCGGUACGCGAGCUGGGUUCAGAACGUCGUGAGACAGUUCGGUCCAUAUCCGGUGUACGCGCAGGAACAUUGAGAGGAUUUCUCCCUAGUACGAGAGGACCGGGAGGAACGCACCUCUGGUGUACCAGUUAUCGUGCCAACGGUAAACGCUGGGUAGCCAUGUGCGGAGUGGAUAACCGCUGAAAGCAUCUAAGUGGGAAGCCCACCUCAAGAUGAGUGUUCCCAUGGCAUAAGCCAGUAAGGUCACGGGAAGAACACCCGUUGAUAGGCUCUACGUGGAAGUCCAGUAAUGGAUGCAGCGGAGGAGUACUAAUAGACCGAGGGCUUGACCAU